rnacentral:rRNA from 1 species
GCCCAGAGCCUGAAUCAGUAUGUGUGUUAGUGGAAGCGUCUGGAAAGGCGCGCGAUACAGGGUGACAGCCCCGUACACAAAAAUGCACAUGCUGUGAGCUCGAUGAGUAGGGCGGGACACGUGGUAUCCUGUCUGAAUAUGGGGGGACCAUCCUCCAAGGCUAAAUACUCCUGACUGACCGAUAGUGAACCAGUACCGUGAGGGAAAGGCGAAAAGAACCCCGGCGAGGGGAGUGAAAAAGAACCUGAAACCGUGUACGUACAAGCAGUGGGAGCACGCUUAGGCGUGUGACUGCGUACCUUUUGUAUAAUGGGUCAGCGACUUAUAUUCUGUAGCAAGGUUAACCGAAUAGGGGAGCCGAAGGGAAACCGAGUCUUAACUGGGCGUUAAGUUGCAGGGUAUAGACCCGAAACCCGGUGAUCUAGCCAUGGGCAGGUUGAAGGUUGGGUAACACUAACUGGAGGACCGAACCGACUAAUGUUGAAAAAUUAGCGGAUGACUUGUGGCUGGGGGUGAAAGGCCAAUCAAACCGGGAGAUAGCUGGUUCUCCCCGAAAGCUAUUUAGGUAGCGCCUCGUGAAUUCAUCUCCGGGGGUAGAGCACUGUUUCGGCAAGGGGGUCAUCCCGACUUACCAACCCGAUGCAAACUGCGAAUACCGGAGAAUGUUAUCACGGGAGACACACGGCGGGUGCUAACGUCCGUCGUGAAGAGGGAAACAACCCAGACCGCCAGCUAAGGUCCCAAAGUCAUGGUUAAGUGGGAAACGAUGUGGGAAGGCCCAGACAGCCAGGAUGUUGGCUUAGAAGCAGCCAUCAUUUAAAGAAAGCGUAAUAGCUCACUGGUCGAGUCGGCCUGCGCGGAAGAUGUAACGGGGCUAAACCAUGCAC